rnacentral:tRNA from 1 species
GGGCGCUUAGCUCAGCGGUAGAGCGUCGCCCUUACAUGGCGGUGGUCACAGGUUCGAAUCCCGUAGCGCCCA